UACGGAGGGUGCAAGCGUUAAUCGGAAUUACUGGGCGUAAAGCGCACGCAGGCGGUUGGAUAAGUUAGAUGUGAAAGCCCCGGGCUCAACCUGGGAAUUGCAUUUAAAACUGUCCGACUAGAGUCUUGUAGAGGGGGGUAGAAUUCCAGGUGUAGCGGUGAAAUGCGUAGAGAUCUGGAGGAAUACCGGUGGCGAAGGCGGCCCCCUGGACAAAGACUGAUGCUCAGGUGCGAAAGCGUGGGGAGCAAACAGG
rnacentral:rRNA from 1 species